AGUGAACGCUGGCGGUAGGCCUAACACAUGCAAGUCGAACGGCAGCACAGUAAGAGCUUGCUCUUACGGGUGGCGAGUGGCGGACGGGUGAGGAAUACAUCGGAAUCUACUUUUUCGUGGGGGAUAACGUAGGGAAACUUACGCUAAUACCGCAUACGACCUACGGGUGAAAGCAGGGGAUCUUCGGACCUUGCGCGAUUGAAUGAGCCGAUGUCGGAUUAGCUAGUUGGCGGGGUAAAGGCCCACCAAGGCGCCGAUCCGUAGCUGGUCUGAGAGGAUGAUCAGCCACACUGGAACUGAGACACGGUCCAGGCUCCUACGGGAGGCAGCAGUGGGGAAUAUUGGACAAUGGGCGCAAGCCUGAUCCAGCCAUACCGCGUGGGUGAAGAAGGCCUUCGGGUUGUAAAGCCCUUUUGUUGGGAAAGAAAAGCAGCAGGUUAAUACCCCGCUGUUCUGACGGUACCCAAAGAAUAAGCACCGGCUAACUUCGUG
rnacentral:rRNA from 1 species